rnacentral:rRNA from 1 species
AACGAACGCUGGCGGCAGGCUUAACACAUGCAAGUCGAACGCGUGUAGCAAUACACGAGUGGCGCACGGGUGAGUAACGCGUGGAUAUCUGCCUUUUGGUUCGGAAUAACCUCGGGAAACUGGGGCUAAUACCGGAUGGUUCCUUCGGGAUAAAGAUUUAUCGCCAAAAGAUGAGUCCGCGUCCGAUUAGGUAGUUGGUGAGGUAAUGGCUCAACAAGGCGACGAUCGGUAGCUGGUCUGAGAGGACGAUCAGCCACACUGGGACUGAGCCACGGCCCAGACUCCACCGGGAGGAAGCGGUGGGGAAUAUUGGACAAUGGGGGCAACCCUGAUCCAGCCAUGCCGCGUGAGUGAUGAAGGCCUUCGGGUUGUAAAGCUCUUUUGGCGGGGACGAUGAUGACGGUACCCGCAGAAUAAGCCCCGGCUAACUUCGUGCCAGCCGCCGCAGUAAGAC